GGAGAGGUGUCCGAGCUGGCCGAAGGAGCAGCAUUGGAAAUGCUGUGUGCGGGUAACCGUACCGAGGGUUCGAAUCCCUCCCUCUCCGCCA
rnacentral:tRNA from 1 species